GGUGCCCAAUCAGCAGCCGAGCCGUUGGGCCAGGCUGGGAAGCAGUGCUGUCUUUUGGCACCGUCUGAUCCGGGCUGAGGGAUUGAAGGCGGUGGUCGCUAAGCUAGGUCUAAGACGGACAGCCAGGGCGACAACCAGUCUCUCGCUACGUGUCCCCAGCUUCCCUGUUUCCGAGCGCCUCUCAAGGCGCACGCUCUGGACUUGUUCAGAUGGGGGAAGGGAACUGGUCUGGAACUCCCCACUAUUCCCGAGGUUCCCACGCCUCCAGAUCCGGAGAGGCCGUUUCGCUCCAGUGGCCUGGCCCCCCUGCCCCCUCAGCCUAGCCGUUCUUGAUCGUAAGUGCUAAAAGGAACAAAGAAGGAGAAUUCAAGAAUCCACACAUAAGCCCAAACCCUGACAGGAGCCUUUUCCUCUCCCAUCUCCUGCCUACGCUUCCUCCUAGUAGCUUUUUAACUGCUGGCGGUUAAGUUACUUUGACUGGUUUGAAUUAAACGCAAAAUAGGUUUAGGCUGAGAAAUGGGCCAGACCCUUGGCGAUCUGAGAAAGAAAGACUGAGUCCGGAUGUCAAGAGGCCUGGGCCUCACGAGGGAGUUUGUCUGCUUAUUUGAACACCUCAGAGUUGAAGAUCUUGUUACUGCUAUUUCUGUGCUGGUGAAUCAGUACAGACCUUGAUGCCAAGGUACAUAGUGUCAGAACUGAAUUGGAGGACACCCAGCUGGUGUAUACUGCUUCAUGUCGGGGAGAAAAACCCCCACACCUUUGGUCACAGAAGGCUUCUGUGUUGAUGUUCGUUGUGAUGAUGUGAGAGCAGAGGAAAAAGAGAAAGCAGGAGUUUUCUUAUCAGUGAAAUAAGUACAAUAUUGCUCAUGUGAGUGGAAUAGUCCCACUGUUGGAAACAUCUCUUGCAAAGGCUCAGCCUAGCCAGAAGACCUCACCAGAUGCCACAGCCAGCUGACCUUGGACUUUUCAGCCUCACAACUGUGAGCAAUAUAAACCUCUAUUCUUUACAAAUUACUAUUCUCUGGUUUCUUAAGAACCUCAGAUGUGCCUGGAGAUAAACCUGCUGAAACUUUCCUCUUGGCUUUGAGGACUGGCCUGUGGUAUUUAAUUACAGCAACAGAAAAUGGACUAAGACAUUCCAAUUUAUCAGACUCCCUUUCAUAGUCAAGCAGAAGCAAGAAGAUGAAAUUGGGAUUUCUAAAUCUCAACACUAUUGACAUUUGAGGCCAAAUAAGUCAUUGUUUUGGGUCACGGUCCUGUGCAUGUAGAAUGUGUAACAGCAUUUCUGGCUUCUAUGCACUAGAUGUCAGGAGCACCUUUCAUCACCCAAACUGAAGACCAAAAAUGUCUCCAGACAUUGUCAGAUAAUCCUGUGGGGUCAAAAUCAUGAGUGGCUUUAAAUUAUUGUACCAUUUAAUCUUACACCAACUCUUUAUAAAGUUCAGAGACAAAAUUCAAGAUAAGGCUACAGAACCUAGACUAGAGCAAAGGUCUUUUAUUUCUGAGGCCAGAGUUUUAUCCACCACACCAGAGCUGCCCCCAAACAAGUGCUAAAAGGCUACUCGGCCAAAGUUCUUCUGAUUUUUUUCUGCAGUGCCAAUACUGCGUCUUAAAGACCAGAACACACAUUAAGCCCUUCCAGGCUGCUGUCUUUUUUAUUGUACUUACUGCUUUAGUAGCUCAGCCUCACCUCAGAUAACUCAAUUCACUCACCAGCAGAUAUCACUCCUACUUAUUGGAUUUUUGGAUGGGUUUCACAAUAGGUCUUCUUUAGGACAAGAUGUUCAGCUUGUUUUUGUUGUUGUUGUUGUUUGUUUUUCUUCUCAGUUACACAGAAGCAUCUAAUGCCUGAAUACUAGAGUCAUGUAAGAUAUAAGGAUGCUCCUAACCAGGAAGAAGACAAUGUUAACUACUGAGCAGGGAAUUAUGAUUCCCUGUGGAUAAGGGAAAACAGGAGCAAGAACGAGACACACUUAACAGAGAUCUGAUCUUUCCUUCCAUCCACACUUGUUACAGGGUACUGCCCCCUCCAAGCCAGCAGGUGGUUUAGUUUUCUGUUACAGUGAAAGGAGAGUGUGUUUGCUCCCACAAUAUUGACAGGCCAGCUGUUAUUACUAGUGUUAUCAUUCACAAAAAUACAAUUCAUUGUGUACCAUCAGCGCUUAAAUAGUAUGUCUCAAAGGACUUUCUUUAAAAGGCCAGAUUCACCCCUGGAGUGGAGCUGGGCCUGAGGUUACCAGAUGUCUCUGCAAGUCAUCUGAAUUUAUCAUCUUCCCUAGUUCAGCCAUCUGGCUCACAUGCUGGGCAGAGACUCAUUGGCUCCUUGCCAGAGGUCGUGUGACUUGAAUACCCAUAUCUUAAACAAGUCUAGAAUAUGAAAGAGGGAGAGGAGAAGAAUUGAUAGAAAGUUAGUCUUCACCCUUAGAAUUCUGUACUUUCAAAUUUUAUUUCAGAGAUUUGCAUAUCAUUGAUUUAGGGCAGCAUUUUACACUUAAUUCAUCUUGAUUAUUUAAACUACAAAACAAGGAUAGAAACUUAAGACAUUUUAUCUUGACUGUAUGAAAUAUAUAGGAAAAUAUGAGGGAUGGAGAGGAGGCGCCUUCUUUUGUUUUGUCUUUUUCGAUAAUUUCCCUCCAU
rnacentral:lncRNA from 1 species